rnacentral:lncRNA from 1 species
CGGCGGCUUAACAGGUGGUGAGAACGGUGGACUUUGGACAUCAACGGUGAGGUUCUCUGGCCGAGGUGGUGCACACGGACACGGCAAUGCUAUAAAUUUAGGCGUAUUAUCUCCAGGCAUCACCACCGUUAUGCUUAGAUCCUGGGGUUUCUUCACAUCCUGUUCACAAUAGUUAUUUUUAGUUCAUAAUCAACUCACUAGAUUUAUAUUUAUAUUUUAUUUUUUACUUUCUACUUACUAACUAAAUUUUCAAAAUUCAACUUCUGGUCCUUAAUAAAUUACAAUUUCAUCAAGAUAGUAAUGUAUUCCAUAUGCUUUCACUUACUUUUC